GAUGAACGCUAGCUACAGGCUUAACACAUGCAAGUCGAGGGACCGGCGCUCGGGUGAGCAACACGUAUCCAACACGCCCUUUACUCGGGGAUAGCCGUGCGAAAGAAAGAUUAAUACCCGAUGUAAAGGAUGGGGAUGCUGUCCUUUAGGUUGUUGGUGAGGUAACGCCUGACCAAGCCUUCGAUGGUUAGGGGUUCUGAGAGGAAGGUCCCCCACAUUGGAACUGAGACACGGUCCAAACUCCUACGUGAGGAAGCAGUGAGGAAUAUUGGUCAAUGGGGGUUAGCCUGAACCAGCCAGGUGGCGUGAAGGAUGGAGGCUUAUGGGUCGUAAACUUCUUUUAUAUAAGAAUAUGUAUUAUAUGAAUAAGGAUCGGCUAACUCCGUGCCAGCAGCCGCGGUAAUUC
rnacentral:rRNA from 1 species